AGUAAAAUGGCUGAGGUUUAAGCGAUAAAUUGUAAAUUUAUUUACGAAAAAGUUUUUCUUUUACUA
rnacentral:tRNA from 1 species